GGCAGGGGUGGGUGGGGUGUAUAUACACACCCUACCGCCUUACCACUUGUCAAUUGCAAAUCCAACCGGAAGAGAGGACCUUGCAGGGAGAUCCUACUGGACUCUCCCCCUGGAGGAAAAAAGGCUUACCUCCUUUCCCGCCGGCGACAGCCCAGCCAAUGGGAGGCCACUAUACUUCCCACCCCCCAGUUUGCUCCAAUGGGCUUGCUCGUAACAGCCUUCCCAACUUCCCCUUUCUUCUAUAAGAGACCAUACCUCUCUGUUCUGGCACUUGCCUGUGGUUUUGCUAUAGGUAGCUUAUCUUGGCUCGCCGUUCUUUGCUAUUUCCAAACAAAUCCACCUUUUGCUGGUAAAAUAACUGGCACUUGUAUUUUUUAUUAAAUAAUUUUUUUAAAUGUUUACUUAUAUUUGAGAGAGAGUGUGAAUGAAGGAGGGGCAGAGAGAGGGAGACAGAAUCCAAAGCAGGCUCCAUCCAGGUCCUGAGCUGGCAGUGCAGAGCCUGACGCAGGCCUCGAACCCACCGACCGUGACCUGAGUGGAAGUCGGACACUCAGUCUACUGAGACACCCAGUUCCUGAACUCUUCGGCUUUCAUGGCGAUAAUAGUCACUUCGGACUUGCCCAGCCUUCAGGACACCUUCACUGCGCUUUAGCAGUCCCGCAAGACCUCACACCCAGCAUGGAGCCCAAAACAGGGCUCAAACUCACGAAGCUGAGAUCAACACCUCAGCUGAGAUCAAGAGUCAGAUGUUUAACCAACUGUGUCACCCAGACCCCCCAUUGUGUACAGCUAUCCUAAGGAGGGACAAACAGGAGGACCCCAGGAUAAGGGAGCCGACAAGAGCUGCGAGCAGACUCCACAUGUAGUGUGGAGCCCGACUCUGUAUCACGACCCUGGGAUCAUCACCUGAGCCGAAAUCAAGAGUCAGACUCUCAACCUACUGAGCCACCAGAUGUCAGUGUUUUGGAAGCGUUCACAGAAACAGAGGGAACCUGCAUCCCAGCUAUCAACGACACUGAGGAAGUGUCCUUCUGUUGAAUCAAGGUAGCCAUCUUUCUUUUUUGGGUACAUUCUCUCUGCCAGACUUUCUGCUAAAGGCUUGAUAUGCAUCAUCGUGUUUUAUAAUUAUUACAAUCCUUUUGGGCUAAUUACCAUUUGCAAAUAAGGAAAUUGAGGCUCCGUCUGGUUAAAUAACUUGACCACUGUCACAUAGCUCAUUUCCACUUGACACAGAAGAAAAGGCCCGUUAUUCAUUUAUUCAUUCCACAAAUUUCUCCUUGAGAUACUUACUGUGUGCAAGAUAGAAAUUGCCAAAAUCUCACCACCUGGUUUCUGUCAGACUUAGCUUCAUUUCUUUCUAAUUUGUUCAGCCAGCCUAAGAGCUCCUAGACAGAUAGGUAUUAACGUUAUUUUGAAAAGCCUCCAGGGAAGAAAGUUUCCUAUGUUCUCUUGGUAACUGAAGUUUCCCAGAACUUCCAAGGACUUCUUAAGGCUAACCUAAGACCCUCUCGCAACAACCGAAGCCAACUCCUUAUGAGGAGAUGGGGCACAACCACAGCCGAAGGGAAGUCUUUGAGAACAACCUGUCCUAGGAGGAAGGUAGACACAGUGAGAUGGGGCCACAGGGUCAAAGAAUAUUAGUGCUCUCUGGGACCUUAGAGGCUAAAGACUGUAAUUUCCUAUUUUACAGGAAAGAAAAUGAACCUAGGGAGAAUGAACGAUUUCCCCAGAUUACUGAGCUAUUUAAUGGCUGAGCUAGAACCAGAGUCUGAGGCUGCUUGUUUCCAGGGGGGUAGGACAUUGUGAUUGAAAGCUAAAGGUUUGGGAGUGCCCGGGGGGCUCAGUUGGUUAAGCGGUCCUACUCUUGUUUCGGCUCAGGUCAAGAUCGCAUGAGAUCAAGAUUCGUGAGAUCAAGCCCUGUGUCGGGCUUUGCGCUGACAGCGCAGAGCCUGCUUGGGAUUCUCUCGCUCUCCCUCUCUCUCUCUGCCCUUCCCCCCACUCAUGCCCACCCUGUCUCAAAAUAAAUAAAUAAACAUUAAAAAAUAAAAAGAAAGCUGAAAUUGGGAAGUGGGCUGGUUGCUUGCAUUCCCUAGCUGUAGGACUAAGGCAGGUUUUGCAGUCUUAUAUACUUGGGGCCUCGGUCUUGUCAUCUGUAAAAUGGAGUUGAUAUGUACCUCCUGGAGGUAUUAUGAGGGUUAAAUGAGAUCAUCUAUGUGAGUCCCCGAAGUGUACUAGUCUCAGGUAUAGAAUGAGGGGCUAGGUUAAUAUUCCUUUCCCUACCCUGGACCCAGUCUUUUAUUUACUAUAUUCGUUAAUGUAACAAGUCACACCAACUCUCGCUGGCUUGGGACAGCAAUAAUUAUUUAUUACCUCUAACCGAUACUUUUGGGCAGGAAUUUGGCAGCUGCUUGACUGGGUGGCUCUGAGGUCUCAUAAGUUUCCAGUCCGAUGUCAGCUGGGGCUGCAUCAUCUGAGGGCUUGACCGAGGCCGGAAUAUUCAGCAUGAAGGUGUCUUGCUCUUAUGGCUGGCGGUCUCAAUUCCAGACCAUGUGGGCCCCUCCACAGGGCUUCUUGAGGGUCCUCACUACAUGGUACCAAGGGGCCCAAAGUGGAAUCUGCAAAUGCUAUUUGUCAUCCAGCUCUGGAAAUCACACACUUCCGUUGUGUUCCAUUGGCCACGCAGGGCCAGCUCUGAUUCACUGAGGGAGGGGGCCACACAAGGGCACAAAUACCAGGGGGUGAGGAUCACUGGGGGCUGGCUGGCACACUGUCUCACGGACGAGGUUCUAUUUCUGUGCCCUCUUACCUUCCUGUGUCCUGAGUGUUGAUACGUUUCAAUAAUCACUCCUGGCUUCUCAGGGCUGACAGGGGCUGUGCCCCCCUUAGCGUCUUCUGGAGUUCUGAGGAUGCUGUUUAUAAUUAGCCAAGCAAUAAUCCCCACCGCUGAGCCAACUCCAAGGCUCAUCUGCUUGCUUCUCUGGAGGUUUUUAAAUAGACAGGGAUGUGUUAAUGACACAGUACAUUAUCUGUCUGUUACCGUUUUGGCAGGCAGCGUGGAAACGUGACUUUUUUAAGGAGGAGUUAAUCAGUAUUUAAAAAGCAGCUCCUGUGGCAGAGGCAUGAAGCAGGUAUCAAAAGGCUGCCUGGGAAGGCUGAGGUUUCAGAACCCUGGGCCCUGACAUCAUGCCCUUUGAGUGGCUAGUGGGCAUGACCAGCUGGGCUCAUUACUACUGACAUCUCCCCGCUUCCUCUGCACUUGGAAUACAUUGAAUCUGCUCCCAAACUCAGCAACAUCCUCACAGAGGAAGCCUGUGAAGUGUGAUCGCUGCUUCUCUGCUGAUAGUUCUCGAAUCUAUUUGCCCUGCCUCCUACCAAACCUAGCUCCUGAGCUCUGGAACACCUACUGCUCAUUUUCGUUUGGAUGUUCCCCAAGUGCGCCGAAAACCGGACUCCUAACUUCCUUCCCACCCAACCUCAUGGGUCCUCCUGUUUGCUACCUCAGUGAAUGGCACCUUCGUUCUCCCUCUGGACCAAGCCAGACCCCAGAUGGUAUGGGACGAUGGUUAGGAGGGAAGGGCAGGGGGAUGGGAGCCUGAAUGCCUGGGCUGAGUCUCAACACUGCCGUUCACAAGUUGGGUGGUCUCAAUUUGUUCCACCUGACGUCCGGAUUUAAAACUGGAGAUAAUGAUAGAAACAAUCCAGGAGGAUUGUUGGGGGGGAGUAAAUGAGCUAGUUCAUGCCUGGCAUACAGCAAGAGCUCAAUAAAUGCUGUAAGAAUCAUUAAGCUCCUUGUGUUCUCUCUCCUAAAUGUUUCCUGAAACCAUCAGCAUUUUUACUUUUGCCAUCUGUCAGCUUGGGUCCCCGUCCUGGCUCAAUGGGGCAAAGGCUUCCUGCUGCGAUCUCCGCCGCCAGGGAGAUAUUUCAAAAGUACAUAUGCGAGUGACAGCAUGUCCCUGCUUAACCGCAACUCCCUUUACUCUUAGGAGUUGGGGGCAAAUCCCUUACGUGGCUCAAAGGUUGUGCAGGCGUUGCGUCUGCCUGCCUCUUCAGCCACGUCUCCCCCUCCUCCUACUGAGCUUUCAGUCCCUCUGAUGGACCCCACCGUCUCUUAUCUACAGGUCUCACACAUGUUUUUCCCUCUUCAAAGGAACAUUACCCGGUUGAGCCCCUUCUCAGCAUUCACUAUGGAUCUUAUUGUUGAAGAAGAAAGGGAGAGGCAGGUAGAGGUGAAGCAGAUCAAGGUGUCUCAUCUCUUCUUUUCAAACUACUCCUAGAACUUCAAUAGACCCCACGGAUGGGGAGGCAGUGUUGGCCUCCCAGGUAUCAGUGGUUUGAAGAGCUGUGGAUGGAGGUUCUGAAGGCUGGAGCUUGAGAGUUCCCAGGUGUGUCCUGUGACACCUCCAGUCGUGCCUCGUUGCCUAGCCCUCAGUGCCCUUGAUCUUUUAAUCCCAGUGACACAUUGCUCCGUUGGGAAAUUGCAAACGUGGACUUGGCCAGCCUCCCUCCACAUCCUCCGUCGGUGAUGCUGGCUAAUCUUCCCUCCUCUCCCUCCAUGGAUUAAACUUCGUUGAACAUACCUGUCACCCGGCAGAGAUCAGGCUCACCUCCAUAUGCUCGUUGCCUAUGGAGUGGUGGCAGCUUAGCAAAUAUAUGUCGGGUUAAUAUAUGAAGGGGUUGCUCCAAUUUUCAAGUAUCAUCUAUAUGUUAUGAGUAUCCUAAGGGCUACCAAAGGCUUCCUCUUUGCUAACCAUUUACUCUUAUUUUCAGGAGUAGGUGCAUUAAUCAGAUUCUUAGCUUGAAUAUGUUUGGUACUUCUUUGAAAAAAAAAAAAAAGAACACAGAAUUCCUGUUAUGGCCCCAUAAAUAUUUUUUGAGCAUUUCAUAUGUACCAGGAGAUGCUGGAGAUCCAAAGGUGAAUAUGACGUAGUCCCAGCUUCUCAUUAUCCUGGAUUCGUCAGCCAGGAGUUAAUAAGGUGUUGAAAAAACAUUUGUUGGGCAGAAGACAUGAAUCGACACUUCUCUAAAGAAGACAUCCAGAUGGCCAACAGGCACAUGAAAAGAUGCUCAACGUCGCUCCUCAUCAGGGAAAUACAAAUCAAAACCACACUCAGAUAUCACCUCACGCCAGUCGGAGUGGCCAAAAUGAACAAAUCAGGAGACUGCAGAUGCUGGCGAGGAUGUGGAGAAACGGGAACCCUCCUGCACUGUUGGUGGGAAUGCAAACUGGUGCAGCCACUCUGGAAAACAGUGUGGAGUUUCCUCAAAAAAUUAAAAAUAGAUUUACCCUAUGACCCGGCAAUAGCACUGCUAGGAAUUUACCCAAGGGAUACAGGAGUGCUGACGCAUAGGGGCACUUGUACCCCAAUGUUUGUAGCAGCACUCUCAACAAUAGCCAAAUUGUGGAAAGAGCCUAAAUGUCCAUCAACUGACGAAUGGAUAAAGAAGUUGUGGUUUAUAUAUACAAUGGAGUACUACUUGGCAAUGAGAAAGAAUGAAAUAUGGCCUUUUGUAGCAACGUGGAUGGAAAUGGAGAGUGUUUUGCUAAGUGAAAUAAGUCAUACAGAGAAAGACAGAUACCAUAUGUUUUCACUCUUAUGUGGAUCCUGAGAAACUUAACAGAAGACCAUGGGGGAGGGGAAGAGGGAAAAAAUUACAGAGAG